rnacentral:rRNA from 1 species
GACGAACGCUGGCGGCGUGCUUAAUACAUGCAAGUCGAACGCAGUGGGGACGGGUGAGUAACACGUGGGUAACCUCCCAUCAGAGGGGAUAACACUUGGAAACAGGUACUAAACCGAUACUGAUGGAUGGACCCGCGGGGCAUUAGCUAGUUGGUGCGGUAACGGCUCACCAAGGCCACGAUGCAUAGCCGACCUGUGAGGGUGAUCCGCCACACUGGGACUGAGACACGGCCCAGACUCCUACGGGAUGCAGCAGUAGGGAAUCUUCGACAAUGGACGAAAGUCUGACCUAGCAACGCCGCGUUAGUGAAGAAGGUUUUCGGAUCGUAAAGCUCUGUUGUUAGAGAAGCGGUAUCUAACCAGAAAGCCACGGCUAACUCCGUGCCAGCAGCCGCGGUAAUUC